AGUGAACGCUGGCGGUAGGCCUAACACAUGCAAGUCGAACGACAGCACAGUAAGAGCUUGCUCUUACGGGUGGCGAGUGGCGGACGGGUGAGGAAUACAUCGGAAUCUACUUUUUCGUGGGGGAUAACGUAGGGAAACUUACGCUAAUACCGCAUACGACCUACGGGUGAAAGCAGGGGAUCUUCGGACCUUGCGCGAUUGAAUGAGCCGAUGUCGGAUUAGCUAGUUGGCGGGGUAAAGGCCCACCAAGGCGACGAUCCGUAGCUGGUCUGAGAGGAUGAUCAGCCACACUGGAACUGAGACACGGUCCAGACUCCUACGGGAGGCAGCAGUGGGGAAUAUUGGACAAUGGGCGCAAGCCUGAUCCAGCCAUACCGCGUGGGUGAAGAAGGCCUUCAGGUUGUAAAGCCCUUUUGUUGGGAAAGAAAAGCAGCAGGUUAAUACCCCGCUGUUCUGACGGUACCCAAAGAAUAAGCACCGGCUAACUUCGUG
rnacentral:rRNA from 1 species